rnacentral:rRNA from 1 species
GCGAGCUUACCAUGCAGUCGACGCCCCGCAAGGGGAGUGGCAGACGGGUGAGUAACGCGUGGGAACAUACCCUUUCCUGCGGAAUAGCUCCGGGAAACUGGAAUUAAUACCGCAUACGCCCUACGGGGGAAAGAUUUAUCGGGGAAGGAUUGGCCCGCGUUGGAUUAGCUAGUUGGUGGGGUAAAGGCCUACCAAGGCGACGAUCCAUAGCUGGUCUGAGAGGAUGAUCAGCCACAUUGGGACUGAGACACGGCCCAAACUCCUACGGGAGGCAGCAGUGGGGAAUAUUGGACAAUGGGCGCAAGCCUGAUCCAGCCAUGCCGCGUGAGUGAUGAAGGCCUUAGGGUUGUAAAGCUCUUUCACCGAUGAAGAUAAUGACGGUAGUCGGAGAAGAAGCCCCGGCUAACUUCGUGCCAGCAGCCGCGGUAAUACGAAGGGGGCUAGCGUUUUUCGGAAUUACUGGGCGUAAAGCCUACGUAGGCGGAUAUUUAAGUUAGGGUUGAAAUUCCUUGUCCCAACUGCGGAACUUCUUUUGAUAUUGUUU